rnacentral:rRNA from 1 species
GAUGAACGCUAGCUACAGGCUUAACACAUGCAAGUCGAGGGGCAGCAUGACCUAGCAAUAGGUUGAUGGCGACCGGCGCACGGGUGAGUAACACGUAUCCAACCUGCCGAUUAUUCCGGGAUAGCCUUUCGAAAGAAAGAUUAAUACUGGAUAGCAUAACGAGAAGGCAUCUUCUUGUUAUUAAAGAAUUUCGAUCAUCGAUGGGGAUGCGUUCCAUUAGUUUGUUGGCGGGGUAACGGCCCACCAAGACAUCGAUGGAUAGGGGUUCUGAGAGGAAGGUCCCCCACAUUGGAACUGAGACACGGUCCAAACUCCUACGGGAGGCAGCAGUGAGGAAUAUUGGUCAAUGGACGAGAGUCUGAACCAGCCAAGUAGCGUGAAGGAUGACUGCCCUAUGGGUUGUAAACUUCUUUUAUAUGGGAAUAAAGUGGGCCACGUGUGGCUUUUUGUAUGUACCAUACGAAUAAGGAUCGGCUAACUCCGUG